rnacentral:rRNA from 1 species
GCGUUCUGUAAGCCUGUGAAGGUGGCCUGUGAGGGUUGCUGGAGGUAUCAGAAGUGCGAAUGCUGACAUAAGUAACGAUAAAGCGGGUGAAAAGCCCGCUCGCCGGAAGACCAAGGGUUCCUGUCCAACGUUAAUCGGGGCAGGGUGAGUCGACCCCUAAGGCGAGGCCGAAAGGCGUAGUCGAUGGGAAACAGGUUAAUAUUCCUGUACUUGGUGUUACUGCGAAGGGGGGACGGAGAAGGCUAUGUUGGCCGGGCGACGGUUGUCCCGGUUUAAGCGUGUAGGCUGGUUUUCCAGGCAAAUCCGGAAAACCAAGGCUGAGGCGUGAUGACGAGGCACUACGGUGCUGAAGCGACAAAUGCCCUGCUUCCAGGAAAAGCCUCUAAGCAUCAGGUAACAUCAAAUCGUACCCCAAACCGACACAGGUGGUCAGGUAGAGAAUACCAAGGCGCUUGAGAGAACUCGGGUGAAGGAACUAGGCAAAAUGGUGCCGUAACUUCGGGAGAAGGCACGCUGAUAUGUAGGUGAAGCGACUUGCUCGUGGAGCUGAAAUCAGUCGAAGAUACCAGCUGGCUGCAACUGUUUAUUAAAAACACAGCACUGUGCAAACACGAAAGUGGACGUAUACGGUGUGACGCCUGCCCGGUGCCGGAAGGUUAAUUGAUGGGGUUAGCGGCAACGCGAAGCUCUUGAUCGAAGCCCCGGUAAACGGCGGCCGUAACUAUAACGGUCCUAAGGUAGCGAAAUUCCUUGUCGGGUAAGUUCCGACCUGCACGAAUGGCGUAAUGAUGGCCAGGCUGUCUCCACCCGAGACUCAGUGAAAUUGAACUCGCUGUGAAGAUGCAGUGUACCCGCGGCAAGACGGAAAGACCCCGUGAACCUUUACUAUAGCUUGACACUGAACAUUGAGCCUUGAUGUGUAGGAUAGGUGGGAGGCUUUGAAGUGUGGACGCCAGUCUGCAUGGAGCCGACCUUGAAAUACCACCCUUUAAUGUUUGAUGUUCUAACGUUGGCCCGUAAUCCGGGUUGCGGACAGUGUCUGGUGGGUAGUUUGACUGGGGCGGUCUCCUCCUAAAGAGUAACGGAGGAGCACGAAGGUUGGCUAAUCCUGGUCGGACAUCAGGAGGUUAGUGCAAUGGCAUAAGCCAGCUUGACUGCGAGCGUGACGGCGCGAGCAGGUGCGAAAGCAGGUCAUAGUGAUCCGGUGGUUCUGAAUGGAAGGGCCAUCGCUCAACGGAUAAAAGGUACUCCGGGGAUAACAGGCUGAUACCGCCCAAGAGUUCAUAUCGACGGCGGUGUUUGGCACCUCGAUGUCGGCUCAU